CCCUACGGGGUGCAGCAGGGUUACUCCUUCCUGCCUGAGUUCCUUGAUAUACUUUCUGCCAAUUACGGUGCUGGUCUGAAAGCGGUUGACUUUGCCAAUGACCCCGAAGCAGCCCGGGAAAUGAUCAAUUUGUGGGUGGCAGCGCAAACCAACGAAAAAAUUAAGGGCCUGAUCCCACCUGGCACAUUGAAUGAACUUACUCGCUUGGUCUUAACCAAUGCGGUUUACUUCAAGGCAGCCUGGCAGACACAGUUCGAUCCAGCCGACACUGCGGAGGGCAGCUUUACCCUGCUGGAUGGUUCUGUCAUUCAGGUGCCGAUGAUACACCGGAUAGGUAACAUGAACGCUGCUGUUGAAAGCGGCGUAAAGUUGGUUGAACUGCCUUACGAAGGAGGUAUGUACUCCAUGGUCAUCCUGAUGCCCGAAGCCGAGAGC
rnacentral:rRNA from 1 species